UACGUAGGUGGCAAGCGUUGUCCGGAAUUACUGGGCGUAAAGGGUGCGUAGGCGGAUAUUUAAGUAGAAAGUGAAAGGUUGGAGCUCAACUCCAACAUUGCUUCCUAUACUGGAUGUCUUGAGUUUCGGAGAGGAAGAUGGAACGACACGUGUAGCGGUGAAAUGCGUUGAUAUGUGUCGGAACACCAAUAGCGAAGGCAAUCUUCUGGACGAAUAUUGACGCUGAGGGACGAAAGUGUAGGGAGCGAACAGG
rnacentral:rRNA from 1 species